UACGUAGGGUCCGAGCGUUAAUCGGAAUUACUGGGCGUAAAGCGUGCGCAGGCGGUUUUGUAAGCCAGAUGUGAAAUCCCCGGGCUUAACUUGGGAACUGCAUUUGGGACUGCAAGGCUGGAGUACGGCAGAGGGAGGUGGAAUUCCACGUGUAGCAGUGAAAUGCGUAGAGAUGUGGAGGAACACCGAUGGCGAAGGCAGCCUCCUGGGCUAGUACUGACGCUGAGGCGCGAAAGCGUGGGGAGCGAACAGG
rnacentral:rRNA from 1 species